CAUAUUAAUUAGCCUAUGUACCCACUGGAUCAAUCUACAGCAACAAAGUCUAGUGCUAGCAGACACAGGGACAGAGGGACCAGCCACCCUCAACACAGGGCAGGGCCAGGAGAGCUGGGUCCUAGGCUGGACCCUCUAAGGAGACCCAUAUGUCCAAAGAGAAGAACUGUCAAGAAAAAGAAACUAGUCAAAAAUUCUUUAAAAGACAACCUAAAAAGGAUUAAAGAUGUAUAUUGAAAUUUUUAGUACCAUAUAUAUGCAAAGAAGUCCUACUAUAAGCUCAGUUAAGCACAUAAAGCUCUCCUUCUUUCCCUAAAUGGAAGGCAGUCAAGAGGACACGCAGAUGGCAUCUAUGGAACAAGGUGGCUGCAUGGCGGCUGUACUAGAUUUUAAUUCACAAACUGGGCAGAACUUCAUAUAAACAGAACCCAGGAUCCCUAAUCUGUACAUAAAUAAACUUAUUAAAUAAUUAGUCCUUGUGAACUAUUUAAGCCGGGGAAAGCU